UUCCUGAUGCACGCUAGUAGGAGCAGGUCAGGGAACUUGCACAUGCGCUCCUCUUCUUCUUGUUCUUCUCACAGUAUCUCUAGCACUUUUUUGUAACACACUGUGCGUUAGUGUAUUAAAAUGACUCCUAAAUUUCUUAGUAAUACAUAAAGAAACAGACUGAUCCCACGAUAUUGUGAGUGUCCUAAAAACAUACUGAUACCAUUAAAACAAAUGUUACUGUGACUACGCUAACUCCCCACCUUGUUGGUAACACGUCAAAAGCACAGUCCAACUCAGCUACUUGUUAGCCGCAUUAGCUUACUCACAGUUAAACCUAACCUUAUUUGACACUCGUGAAAGAAUUAGACCAAUAAACAAACAAUAUUGUUUCACGCGCUGAUCUGUGCUGAAUUUUCAAGAGGUGAUUAAAAAAUCAAAUAGGCUAUCAUAAAAAGAAUAAUAUUUUUAUAAUUUUUUCCAGUGCUAACAAUGCUGAAUUUACAAAAUAAAUAAAUAAAUAAAUAAAUUAAUAAAAUAUUUGAGUAUCUUAAUUUACAGAAUCCAUUGGCCUACUUCCUCACGUUUUACACUUUGCUUAGCAUCAGUGGAGUCACUACAAGGGGGACCAGUCAAUAUCUAUUAUCUUAACAAUAAAGAAAAACUGAAGAAUCUAUUGAUACAAGUAUCCCUUUUAACAACACUGAUGAUAGGUUUCCUGUGCUGAGACACUCGUUUGCGUAAAGACAACAACACAAACAUCAGCUUUUACACACACACAGACACAACACAUUAACAAAUGUCAGUCAGCAGCUCCCAAGAUAGUAGCAGGCAAAUAGCAGUCAUUGGAGGGGGACUGGUAAUGACAGACUAAUGACUGUCAUUUACCAAACUUGGAGGGAGUGGAUUCAUUUGUGUCCAUCUCAGAUUUGUACUUUUUGCUUAUCUUAAAGAUUAUUAAUAUGUCAUCUACAAAUAAGUUUAUAUAUAUUUAUAUAUUUAUUAUAUAUAUAUAUAACUAAGCUGUCUGAUGAUACUCUAUUAUUCUUUGUCAAGGUGGACUAAAGACUACAUGUUCUUUUUUUUCUGUAGAGUCAUUUCACUUCUGAAAAGAAGCAUUUCUUGUUCCCUGCUGCAUUGUGAGAAGCUUUAGACAAAAUCAUUUGUGAUCAUCAUGGAUAACAAUAGCGAAAUAUUUUCAGGGAGGCACAUAAUACCAUCAAUUAUUUUAACUAUGCAAUGCAUUUACUAUUUGUUUCCCACCCAAUACUUUUUUUUCAAAAAUCCAAGAAAAAAAAAGAAAAAUGAUAAAAAUUGAAAGAGCUCAAAAAAGGCGGGGUUGACUUUUUAGCUCAUGAUCUUUCAUAUUUCUGACCUUUAUUAUAAAAGUAGUACCUUAAAAAGACAGUUUAACUUUACAAUCUACUAAUAAAGAUUGUCCAAUAGAUAAGAAAAGCAAAGUAAUAGUACAUUUUAUAUUUAAUAGUUGAUAUAUUUCUUAAGAAAACAUAAUAGUUUUGGGCAAAUCGACUGUUUAAAGUCCCACUCCAAUAAAAGGGUUUUUGGUGUUUUAAAAAAAAAUUGUACAUAAAAUUGAGUUUCUUAGUAUUUUUUAUUCAAAUUUUUGUGAAUCACGACCAGAAAAAAAAAAAAAAAGAAAUCAUUAAAAAAGGCUAAUUUGUUAUCUAGAAAAUGGGGCCAUAAGCUCCCUCCUCUGCGCCAUUCUGAUGCAUCCACUUGUAGACACAUAGAUCCAUGAACGACUUUGUUUUUCUCGUCUGAGCUUGCAAAUAAUUGUAACAUACAUAAUAACAUUAUCGUGAUAAAAAAAAAAAAACUAAAAAUGAUCUUAAAAUAAAUCAAAAGAUGAUCGGAGUAAAUCUUUCAGCAGCACAUUUUUCAAGUAGAGAUCCUAUAUACCUGUUCUUUUUUUAAUCUUCUUUAGAUCCAUUUAACUCCUAUUCUGCUUCAACUGAACUCUAGCUAUACAUGAGCUCACUGUUGAAAUGAAAAGUCCUUAAAUAAAUCUUGCAUGCACAGAAAAUAUAUGAAAUCUUCGUGGCUGACUUGAUUUUUUUUUUUUCUGAUUUGUUCUCUGAGGAGACCCAGACAGGCUGUGCCCUAAAUGAAACACAUUAACAAAGCUCCAGGUCUGAGCGACCUCAUAAUGAGCACCGGACAAAUCGCCUUAUUUGUAUACAUCACCAUGGUGACGCGAACCGCUGUGAGGUGUAGGAAAUCAAAAGCGACAGAUGAAAGGAGGGAUGAAGGAGGAAGCAGAAGAGAAAAACAGCAAUGAUCCCCGUAAUGCUGACACAUACACAAAGGUGUGUGGCUCUAUUCAGAGGGGUCUGUGCUAAUUACUGUGUUUGGACUUGUUUGAGGCUUCUGUUCCCUCUGGCUGACCCCUCACCCUUUCACACACACACAAACCGUCUCUCCGCGGAUGCCAAUGUGUUAUUUCAGCACCUGCAGGCUCGGCGGGGGGAUGCAACGCUGAUGGUUAUGCAUAUUGACAGCAAACAGCAUGAUGGCAGAGGAACAACGCAUGACAUCAGCAGCAUGGGGCUGUCUGGGGAAGGCACGGUAAACGCAAGGGCCAUGGAUUGGCCAAGAGACUAAAUCUCAGAGCCGGCGCCAUUCCUACAAUCAAACCGGAUGAAGACGCCAGACCCGACUUGGGCGAGAGAAGAUCCUGCAGGGCGACGAGGUAAAGAUGGCAACAUCACG